AUUGAACGCUGGCGGCAUGCCUUACACAUGCAAGCCGAACGGCAGCACGGGAGCAAUCCUGGUGGCGAGUGGCGAACGGGUGAGUAAAGUAUCGGAACGUGCCCAGUCGUGGGGGAUAACGUAGCGAAAGUUACGCUAAUACCGCAUACGAUCUAUGGAUGAAAGCGGGGGAUCGCAAGACCUCGCGCGAUUGGAUCGGCCGAUAUCAGAUUAGGGAGUUGGUGGGGUAAAGGCUCACCAAGCCGACGAUCUGUAGCUGGUCGGAGAGGACGACCAGCCACACUGGGACUGAGACACGGCCCAGACUCCUACGGGAGGCAGCAGUGGGGAAUUUUGGACAAUGGGCGAAAGCCUGAUCCAGCCAUGCCGCGUGCAGGAUGAAGGCCUUCGGGAUGUAAACUGCUUUUGUACGGAACGAAAAGGUUUGGGCUAAUAAGCUGAGCUCAUGACGGUACCGUAAGAAUAAGCACCGGCUAGCUACGUGCCAGCCGCCGCCGUAA
rnacentral:rRNA from 1 species